UGGCAAGUCUCCACAUAUGCCUGGCUAGGUCCUCCGCAAAUGCGUGUGGAGGAGCUAGCCAGGCAUAUGCAGAGAGUCA
ensembl:miRNA